rnacentral:rRNA from 1 species
GACGAACGCUGGCGGCGUGCUUAACACAUGCCAGUCGAACGGAAAGGCCCUGCUUUUGUGGGGUGCUCGAGUGGCGAACGGGUGAGUAACACGUGAGUAACCUGCCCUUGACUUUGGGAUAACUUCAGGAAACUGGGGCUAAUACCGGAUAGGAGCUCCUGCUGCAUGGUGGGGGUUGGAAAGUUUCGGCGGUUGGGGAUGGACUCGCGGCUUAUCAGCUUGUUGGUGGGGUAGUGGCUUACCAAGGCUUUGACGGGUAGCCGGCCUGAGAGGGUGACCGGCAACAUUGGGACUAAGAUACGGCCCAGACGGCAACGGGAGGCAGCAGUGGGGAGUAUGGCACAACGGGCGGAGGCCUGAUGCAGCAACGCCCCGGGCGGGAUGAGGGCCUUCGGGUUGUAAAACGCUUUCGACUGGGACGAAGCGUGAGUGAAGGUAAUGGAUAAAGAAGCACCGGCUAACUACGUG